rnacentral:rRNA from 1 species
UACAGAGGUCUCAAGCGUUGUUCGGAUUCAUUGGGCGUAAAGGGUGCGUAGGCGGCGCGGUAAGUCGGGUGUGAAAUCUUGGAGCUUAACUCCGAAACUGCAUUCGAUACUGCCGUGCUUGAGGACUGGAGAGGAGAUCGGAAUUCACGGUGUAGCAGUGAAAUGCGUAGAUAUCGUGAGGAAGACCAGUGGCGAAGGCGGAUCUCUGGACAGCUCCUGACGCUGAGGCGCGAAGGCUAGGGGAGCAAACGGG